AGUGAACGCUGGCGGCGUGCUUAACACAUGCAAGUCGAACGAGUAAGUGCUGUAGUAAUACAGAUUACUGCUAGUGGCAGACGGGUGAGUAAUACAUGGGAAUCUGCCUUGAAGUCUGGGAUAACUGUUGGAAACGACAGCUAAUACCGGAUAUUGCCGAGAGGUGAAAGAUUUAUCGCUUCAAGAUGAGCCCAUGCAAGAUUAGCUAGUUGGUGAGGUAAUGGCUCACCAAGGCGAAGAUCUUUAGCUGGUCUAAGAGGAUGAUCAGCCACACUGGAACUGAGACACGGUCCAGACUCCUACGGGGGGCAGCAGUGGGGAAUAUUGGACAAUGGGCGAAAGCCUGAUCCAGCGACGCCGCGUGAGUGAAGAAGGCCUUCGGGUUGUAAAGCUCUUUUAGUAGGGAAGAUGAUGACGGUACCUACAGAAAAAGCUCCGGCUAACUUCGUGCCAGCCGCCGCCGUAA
rnacentral:rRNA from 1 species